ACAUGAAAGCAGAGGCAACCCGCUUCUCGCCUUAGUAAAAUUAUUUUGCUGGGCAUGAUAUCGAGUAAGAACCUAUUCAACUAGGUUCUUUAAUGGUGGCGGGUGCAUUGCGUACCCGCCACUUUUCUGCUUU
rfam:Lactobacillus brevis subsp. gravesensis ATCC 27305 genomic scaffold SCAFFOLD5, whole genome shotgun sequence.